ensembl:lncRNA
CCUCUAUGCUGUGUAGGGUCCCGGAGUGGCCGGCAGGGGGCGCGCGCCAUCGGGGACUCGAGACGGGCAGUGGGGCUACCGGGAGGUUCGCGCGCAAGACCUGGACCAGGUCUAGGGUUAGGGAGCGAGGAUCUCGAGCGGGGUGGGGAGUGGGGGAAAUCUGUGGACAGCCCACUCGGUCCUGAGCACUGUAUCGGUAGUAGCCCAGCCUUGUGAAGAGCCUUCUGGGGAGGAGAGGAGGCUCCAGCUGAGACCUCAGGGCUGGGGAAACGGGAUGCUUGGUGUGGCAAGGAGAUCGGCAUUCAGAAUAGUCGGGAGCCCUAAGGAGUCCUCCUCGUCGCCCGAACCCCGCAGGGACCCGCUCAGCGAGGAGAAGAGGUGGCAGGUCCUCUCAGAGCCUUCUCGGGCCGGGCACGUGUCGGUGCUUUGCAGGUUUAUCUCGCGGGAUUGCACAUGGCGUCUCCAUUCCACAGGGGAGGCCCGGCAGCUGGGGGCCCUGCGCCGUCCCGGGGCCGGGGUGUGGGGCGGGGCGGCAUACAUUCUCCGCCUCCCUCAUCCUCUUCAGCUCUGCAGAAACGAGGAAGAAAAGCGAUUUCCUAGGCGUGUCUGGAAAAUGGUGAUAAAUGGACCCAAACAAAAGCCCCAUGCUGAGGACUGAAGAGUUGCCCCAUCAAAUUUUAACCAUUCAACUCAUAAGAUGGGGCCCAGAGGGAGGCAGAGAAAUCCUCACAGGGAAGAUAGUGAUCAUAGAGACCCUGAAGGUGAGUAGAAGCUCAAUGGAGAAAGACAGGGUGGUGUCACAUGCAGAGGAAAUAAUUGCAGGAUAGUUUAUCCAUAUUUUUAUUACUUUCUAUGUUUUCUCUCCUGCUGACUGUUGCUUCAUAUCCAAUCCCUGAUGGCUAUUUUUGGGGAUAUAAGCCUGUGAUAAACUUUAUUUGAGAUUUUUCUAUAUGAUCUAUCAAUAGAAUACAUAUUUUUUCAAAAAAGAUUUUUGUAUUUCAUGUAUAGCAUAUAAAGAUGCUUAAAACUCAAUGUCCAAUCUAUCAUUUCAUUUCCACUUUAUUUUAAUGUUUUAUAUUAGCAAGUCCUUUGCCCAACAGAAAUCUUUUAUAUUUUGAUUUAAUUCUUAACUCUGUUAGGAAUUUAUUUUGAUAGGUAUAUGGGAUAAGAACUUCUUAUCUUUUUGGUUACAAAUUGCAAGUCAUUUUCCUAACGUAAAAUAGCCCAUAUCCCAUUUUUUUUCUAAUGGAUCCUUUAACAUAUACUAAGUUCUUACAUACAUUAAAGUCUACUCUGCUCAUUAUUUUAUUCUAUUAAAAUCUGCUAGAGCAAGGGAAGGGUCUUUAAGUCUGAAGAGCCAGCAUGAAACCUGGAGCAUAGGAGGUACAUAAGACAUAUUUAUUGAAUAAUGUGUUAAUAUGCUUGUUCUUGAUGACAAGACUUCACAAAGAAGGCUCAAAUAAUGGAGCCUGUUCUGUGAUUCUAAGAUAGUAAGUCCAUGGAUAUGUUCUCCUUUGCUCCAGUCCUACAGAAAUGACCCAUCAUGAACAGAAGCAGAUUUACUUUCUCAUUCCUGGGCCAUCUGUCUUUCCUAAAGUGGUUCAUAGAAGGUGAAGGCUGGGAGAUCUCAGCUGAGCUCCUGGCUUAUGCUGGAGGGA